AUUUCCCCAAUUUCCUAACUUCGUUUCCCCUAAAUUUCCCUAAGUUAUUCUUCCCCAAAUUAUUUUCUCCAAUUCCCAAACUUCCAAUCCCUUUGUGAUCCAAACCCCCAAUUUCCCAAAUCCCUUUAUUUCUUACCGGGUUCCUCCAUGCUACGCCUUUCAUUUUCUCCCAAAUUCAAACUUUUCCUUUCAAAAUUUAAGCUCCCAAUCCGCCGUAAAGCUCGAUUCUUCAAAAAAAAGGUGUUGGAAUUGCGCCGCAUACAAGACUGGAACAAUGCCGUUCCUCUAUUCUGAUUCCUGCAGGAGCAUUCGACCCGUUGCUUUAUGCAUCGAUUACUUUUAGAUUUUUGGGCUAAAAUAAGUAUGACAUUGAGGUUGUCGGUUUAGAAGGGAAGUACGAGGUUUAGCGGAGGAAAUUGCAUCCUGACCUUGUUCUCAAAAUCCACCAGAAGUUAAGUGCUCUUCAUGGUGCCCUCAUGACAAAUUUGGACAUGUCCGUGAUGUGUCAUUUCAACAUCCAAUAAAAAUUUACUUUGGUAUUAGUCUUUUUUUCUUCCUGGAGUUAUUAUUCUAUGCUGAGAUUAGCAUGUUUUCUUAUACUUGUUUUAAUUAAUUAAAAAAUUUUUGAAAUAAGAAGAAAAAUCUUAAAGCCACAAAAAGCUUAUUUUUCUUUGUUCUUUUGAUGGAUAAGUAUCACUUUGUAUUGAGUGUUAAAUUGUGUGACUAAUUAAGGAACUGACUUAACCAUACAUGCUUUCUGGUAAUACCAACAUGGUUAUUCAUUGUGAUCCUAGUUGAUGC